GAUGAACGCUGGCGGCGUGCCUAACACAUGCAAGUCGAACGAAGCACCUUACCUGAUUCUUCGGAUGAAAGUUUGGUGACUGAGUGGCGGACGGGUGAGUAACGCUUGGGUAACCUGCCCUGUACAGGGGGAUAACAGCUGGAAACGGCUGCUAAUACCGCAUAAGCGCACGAGGAGACAUCUCCUUAUGUGAAAAACUCCGGUGGUACAGGAUGGGCCCGCGUCUGAUUAGCUGGUUGGCAGGGUAACGGCCUACCAAGGCAACGAUCGGUAGACGGUCUGAGAGGAUGAACGGCCACAUUGGAACUGAGACACGGUCCAAACUCCUACGGGAGGCAGCAGUGGGUAAUAUUGCACAAUGGGGGAAACCCUGAUGCAGCAACGCCGCGUGAGUGAAGAAGUAUUUCGGUAUGUAAAGCUCUAUAAGCAGGGAAGAUAAUGACGGUACCUGACUAAGAAGCUCCGGCUAAAUACGUG
rnacentral:rRNA from 1 species